UUCUUUUGUCAUAACUGUUUAGGAUUGAGAUAUAAACCUGGCAGUAUUCUGCCUAUAGUUAGUGUAUUGCGUAAGGUAAGGGUGCUGAUUUGUUUCUUAUGGAUUACUUCUCUUCAAUAUAUGUCUUGGCUUCACAUGACAUGCAACACGCCUUAUGACGAAAAACGCCUGGUCGACUGUUGGCACACAGCCAAGCAGAACACUCCCAAGGCGAUGCAAAAAGGGAUGGCAACCGCGACGAUGUUGGUGCCCUGGAUGAUUUGAAAACAUCGCAACACCUGUCUUCGAAGGAGCGUCACCCUCCAUUCGGGACCUGUGUGCCAGGAUCAAAGAAGAGGCAAGGUCAUGGACCACGGCAGGAGCAAACAGGCUCAGAGAUGUCUUGCCUACAACCUGGGAUGUCACUAAUUUCAGAUUCCGUAAUAACGCUGUGUAAACCUUUUAGGGGGCGUGUAACAACUUACAUCUAUUCAAUGAAAUGAAAUGCAAAGAUUCCUUUGUGUUCUCUCGAAAAAAAUAUUAUGUAGGUGUGCCCGUAGCCGACGAUCCAAAUCAUCCAACUUCCCCAUCCACCAUGGCUCCAACACAUAAGAGGCGCAGGCCAUUGGUGCAAAAGGCUCAGAUGGAGCCACCAUCCAAGAAGAGAAACUAAAUCAGCAGCAAGUGAUGUAUCUGAAAUACAUUGCGUGUGUUCUUCUAUAGUCUUGCAGGCUAUGUUCAUUACCAUGUGUUUGUUUUCACCUCGGGUUAGUCCUUGACUAAUCUCUGCUUUGCUUUUCACCAGUGUUGUCUUUUGGUGACACAUUUCGUGGGUAGCUGUGUUUGUGUCCUACUAUCUUUGUUCCCUAGGAUCUGACGAUCAUGGACCUCUCUUUUGUAGAUGCCAUGUAAAUAUGCGCUUAGUACCUGGUGCAACCAUUCUGCCUUGUGUGGAUAUUACUUCUACUGCUCUGUAAUGUCGCGUGUGAGGUGUAUAUACUUUGGUUUUAGUCUCGUGUGCUUUAUCCUAAGAUCAUCAUAUCGACUUCAUAUUGACUUCAUCUUCUAAAAUUAAAGAAAUGCAUCAUCAUAUUCCACCAAAA